rnacentral:lncRNA from 1 species
GAAACUCUUUAUGGCUAUUCCUCUAGACUCGAGGCUAAAGCAUGCUCAAGUAUCUCCUACCUUAAAAACAAAUAAACAAAAACCUGUUUGACUUUGAGCUUUUUCUUUUUCCCUUUUUUGUUUUCUUUGAGUCUUGGUCUUGCUCUGUUGCCCAGGCUGGAGUGCAGUGGUGAGUGGUGUGAUCUUAGCUCACUGCAUCCUUCAACUCCUGGGCCCAAGCCAUCCUCCCACCUCAUCCUCCUGAGUAGCUAGGACUACAGUCUGAACAAGCCUACGGGGUACAUUCACUCUCUUUCCUGCUGAUGCUAUGGUCUGAUGAAAGGACAGAAAAACAAAGUCAGGACACCUAGUCCCAGGUGUGCUAACAACAGCAGAAAAACAGAUGUGACUGAAACCAGUGGUGAUGAUGGCGGUGGAGAUGGAGCACAGCCCUGAAGAGUAUCUAGAAGUUUGUCUCCUCCAGAGAAAUGCGCAUUCAUUCAAAAAAUAUGCCAGGCACUCUCAGGCAUUGGGAAUAAAGCCAUGGGUUCAGCUAUGGUAUUAGUCCAUUCUCACACUGCUAAUAAAUACCCGAGACUGGGUAGCCUAUUAAGGAAAGAGGUUUAAUUGACUCACAGUUCAGCAUGGCUGGCGAGGCCUCAGGAAACUUACAAUCAUGGCAGAAAGGGAAGCAAACACAUCCUUCUUCAUGUUGUGGCAGCAAGGAGGAGUGCAGAGAGAAGGUGGGUAUGGGUAAAUCCUCUUAUAAAACCAUCAGAUCUCAUGAAACUCACUCACUAUCAUGAAAACAACAUGGAGGUAACCAACCCCAUGAUUCAAUUACCUUAUACUGGGCCCCUCCCAUGGCAUGUGGGGAUUAUGGGAGCUACAAUUCAAGAUGAGAUUUGGGUGGGGAUACAGAGCCUAAUCAUAUCA